rnacentral:misc_RNA from 1 species
GAUGAAGAACGCAGCGAAAUGCGAUAAGUAAUGUGAAUUGCAGAAUUCAGUGAAUCAUCGAAUCUUUGAACGCACAUUGCGCCCGUCAGUAUUCUGGCGGGCAUGCCUGUUCGAGCGUCAUUACGCCCCUCAAGUCCCCUGUGGACUUGGUGUUGGGGAUCGGCGAGGCUGGUUUUCCAGCACAGCCGUCCCUUAAAUUAAUUGGCGGUCUCGCCGUGGCCCUCCUCUGCGCAGUAGUAAAACACUCGCGGGCGGAGAGCGGUGCGGCCCGCCGUAAAACCCCCAACUCUUUCUAAGGUUGACCUCAGAUCAGGUAGGAAUACCCGCUGAACUUAAGCAUAUCAAUAAGCGGAGGA